rnacentral:misc_RNA from 1 species
CCAAAUCAACGGCCGAAAGGCCUUGCCCUAGGGGGGGAGACUCCCCGACGGUAAACCCUUUGUGAAAACCCUUCGUUUGCCUCGGCGGCACCUUUUAAUUAGGGGUCAGCCCGCCGACGGCACCAACCAAAACUCUUUUUUUGAAUUGAAGAAUGUCUGAAUCAAUGGUCGAAUGACUAUA